rnacentral:siRNA from 1 species
AUGGGUCAGUCAUGGGAAAGGAGC